UACGAAGGGUGCAAGCGUUACUCGGAUUUACUGGGCGUAAAGCGUGCGUAGGCGGUCUGUCACGUCGGCUGUGAAAACCCGAGGCUCAACCUCGGGCCUGCAGUCGAUACGGGCAGACUAGAGUUCGGUAGGGGAGACUGGAAUUCCUGGUGUAGCGGUGAAAUGCGCAGAUAUCAGGAGGAACACCGGUGGCGAAGGCGGGUCUCUGGGCCAAAACUGACGCUGAGGAGCGAAAGCGUGGGGAGCGAACAGG
rnacentral:rRNA from 1 species